CCAGAUCCUGCAACAGUGUGUGCCACAUAGUAGGCAUUUGAAUGAGUGGAUACACAAACAGGUCUUGCAAGUCAGUAAGGGGAAAAAUGAACACCUCCAUUUUUACAAUGAGCAAAAGACAUGGAUCAAAAAGAAGAAACACGAAAGAUAUUUAUAAUACAACUGUGGAAAGGUGCUCCUGACAGGAAGUUGGCAUACAACCUCUCAGGCUGGGAGCAAAUAUCUGAAUCAGAUAGGAAGAAAACACUCCAAACGGAUCAAUUUGUUCAAAUUUUAGAGUUGAAACUCAGGUCUAGAGACACUGAGUGAUGUCAGGGAAUAGAUAAUUUAUCUGAUAACCCAAAUUUCAAGUCCCUGCUUUUUCUUCAAUUUUCCAAGUAAUACAAGCCAAAGCUGAUUUCCUCUUAUGUAUGAAGUCAAUGAUCAUAUCAAAGUAGGCCUAUUUCAAGAUGCUGCAUGAAAGACUCUACUAUCAAGCAUAGGCUUGACUUUCCAGAAUCAGAUUUUAAAAGCCUUUGGCACUUAAAUAAAACAUCUUCAUUUUGUAACAGACCAGCCUUUUCUUUCCUUUUUGCAGGAGUGGGAAGUGAAAUUACAUACCAUGUGGUUUUCAUAAUUUAAAAACAUAUCAUAAGGAUGCAUUUUUAAGACUGUGGGAAAGAUAAUGAAGGUAUUUAUGGGACAGCCAGGUAUGAGACUAUCUGGGCUGGAGAUAAAGUAAAUGACUUGAGAAUGGAAG
rnacentral:lncRNA from 1 species